rnacentral:rRNA from 1 species
GACGAACGCUGGCGGCGUGCUUAACACAUGCAAGUCGAACGAUGAACUUGGAGCUUGCUCUGGGGGAUUAGUGGCGAACGGGUGAGUAACACGUGAGUAACCUGCCCUGGACUCUGGGAUAACUUCGAGAAAUCGGAGCUAAUACCGGAUAGGACCUUGCACCGCAUGGUGUGGGGUGGAAAGUUUUUCGGUUUGGGAUGGACUCGCGGCCUAUCAGCUUGUUGGUGAGGUAAUGGCGUACCAAGGCGUCGACGGGUAGCCGGCCUGGGAGGGUGACCGGCCACACUGGGACUGAGACACGGUCCAGACUCCUACGGUAGGCAGCAGUGGGGAAUAUUGCACAAUGGGCGCAAGCCUGAUGCAGCAACGCCGCGUGCGGGAUGACGGCCUUCGGGUUGUAAACCGCUUUUAGUAGGGAAGAAGCCUUCGGGUGACGGUACCUGCAGAAAAAGGACCGGCUAACUACGUGCCAGCCGCCGCGGUAACAC